rnacentral:rRNA from 1 species
UGGGGAAUAUUGCACAAUGGGCGCAAGCCUGAUGCAGCCAUGCCGCGUGUAUGAAGAAGGCCUUCGGGUUGUAAAGUACUUUCAGCGGGGAGGAAGGCGAUAAGGUUAAUAACCUUGUCGAUUGACGUUACCCGCAGAAGAAGCACCGGCUAACCCCGUGCCAGCAGCCGCGGUAAUACGGAGGGUGCAAGCGUUAAUCGGAAUUACUGGGCGUAAAGCGCACGCAGGCGGUCUGUCAAGUCGGAUGUGAAAUCCCCGGGCUCAACCUGGGAACUGCAUUCGAAACUGGCAGGCUAGAGUCUUGUAGAGGGGGGUAGAAUUCCAGGUGUAGCGGUGAAAUGCGUAGAGAUCUGGAGGAAUACCGGUGGCGAAGGCGGCCCCCUGGACAAAGACUGACGCUCAGGUGCGAAAGCGUGGGGAGCAAACA